CAGUCCUGGAUCAAUUCAAAUUUCCACUUCCUCUACCACUCUUCUCCACCAUUUUUCUCCAACUAUUAAGCACAGCUACAGAUAAUGCCAUAGUGGUGCCAACUGGCACGAUCAUCAAUGGAUAGAUGGUUUUCAAGACCAGCGGCACUCACAAGCUCUUCAGCAAUUCUUUACUUUGCCCCUGGUGAGAGCCUUUUGUCUCUCCUAUUUAGCUAUUUCAACUUACUAUCCUCCUCCAUGCCAAGUCUCUUCAAAAUUCUGCACCAGUGUUUUAGGGCAGGGAUCCCCAACCCCUGGGCCACAGACAAGUACCAGUUGGCAGUCUGUUAAGAACUGAGCUGCACAGCAGGAGGUGAGCAGUGGGUGAGUGAGCAAAGCUUCUUCUGUAUUUACAGCCACUCUUUAUUGCUCCCAUUACCACUGGAGCUCCACCUCCUGUCAGAUCAAUGGCAGAAUUAGAGUCUCAUAGAAGUGCAAAUUUUAUUGUGAACUGUGCAGGUGAGGGAUCUGGGUUGUGUGCUUCUUAUGAGAAUCUAAUGCCUGAUGAUCUGUCACUGUCUCCCAUCACCUCCAGAUGAAACCAUGUAGUUGCAGGAAAACAAGCUCAGGGCUCCCACUGAUUCUAUGUUAUGGACAACAUUUUCCUUGCUUAACCUGGACAACGAUCUGGUUGGCUGAUAUGCAAAAACUCUUGUUCAGACGUCCACCCUGGCAUCGAUGUCUCAAGAAGAGAAGAGUUCAAAUUGCUGUUGAUGGUGUUGUUACUGAAUAUAUAAAUAAACCACAAAAAUAACAGAGGACUAGGAAGGGAAGAGCUGUUUUGUUUGACCUUGUUAAAACUGUUGUGCUGUGGGACUUGACUGCUACAAUUAAAAUGAGUUUUUUGGUUUUCCUAUUGGCUGGGGCCCUUGUGUGCUCUCUGAAUGAUAACUCGGGCCCAUCCCAGGGACAGGUAGAAUUGAAAAGUCUUUUUAUUUCCAUAGGCCUAAGCCAAGCUCCUCAAAACAAGCUAUUCCAGGGCUGAGCUGGAGCAAGGCUAAUGCCGCGGUUGGCAGCCCAUGCGCAGCCUCCUCCUUGGUGAGCCCAGACGCCGCGCUUAUCCACUUCAGCUGUCUUUUAAAAGCCUCCUUCUCACAAAAGACAGAGCUGAUCUCAAGGGCCUGGGAAAAUAGAAAAUUCUCACACUGUGAUGGGAAACACUGUCAAGACCUGAAACUCUAUAGCAAAGUAUCAGAUGCCAGUGUGUAGUCACAGAUAAGGUGAGGGAACAGGGCAGUGUGGAAUAAACAACUACAAAAAAAUUAAAAUUGGUGAGUACGCUGGAAUUGUUACAUUUAAGAAACAAGCAAGACCAAUUCACUCUUCAGAGAGCGUGCCGCCAAUGUUCUUGUCAUUUAUUAACUAUGGUAUAUAUUUGUUACCCUCCAUAUGUCCUUAAAUGAGGUCUUAGGAUGAGUGUGGACAUUUCAGGCUGCUGACACCCUGGACAUUUUUGCUUGGGGUCAACAUAGGAGAUUGACUUGCUCACUUGGAAAAUUAAUAUUAAAUGUUGCUCUUCUUCUAUUGCUUGUUCCUGGUGUUUAGUUGUCUGGUUUUAGUGGGUCCUGCAUCCUAUCAAAGCCAAAGCUCUAAAAAAGCAUGUCAG
rnacentral:lncRNA from 1 species